AUUGAACGCUGGCGGCAGGCCUAACACAUGCAAGUCGAACGGUAACAGGAAGAAGCUUGCUUCUUUGCUGACGAGUGGCGGACGGGUGAGUAAUGUCUGGGAAACUGCCUGAUGGAGGGGGAUAACUACUGGAAACGGUAGCUAAUACCGCAUAACGUCGCAAGACCAAAGAGGGGGACCUUCGGGCCUCUUGCCAUCGGAUGUGCCCAGAUGGGAUUAGCUAGUAGGUGGGGUAACGGCUCACCUAGGCGACGAUCCCUAGCUGGUCUGAGAGGAUGACCAGCCACACUGGAACUGAGACACGGUCAAGACUCCUACGGGAGGCAGCAGUGGGGAAUAUUGGACAAUGGGCGGAAGCCUGAUGCAGCCAUGCCGCGUGUAUGAAGAAGGCCUUCGGGUUGUAAAGUACUUUCAGCGGGGAGGAAGGGAGUAAAGUUAAUACCUUUGCUCAUUGACGUUACCCGCAGAAGAAGCACCGGCUAACUCCGUG
rnacentral:rRNA from 1 species